CAGAACCACAACUACAAGACUCCAGCGCACUUCCCUCAGUCAGGAGCUGGAAGGCUUACUCUUUAGGAAUAUCAGUCAGCUGGCUCCCACUGCUACAGCCCGCAGCCACACAGCUGGAAUACCCUCACCCUGGGCAGGGACUGCAGGCUCUCAGUCAGGGGCUGAAGGGCGGCCACGUGCUAGCCAUUGCAAACGCUCAGGGUACAUCCCUGCUGACCUUGCCCAAGACCAUGGAGAGGCAGCUGAGUCCUCAGUUUGAGGAAGACAGGAUAAGAGCCUGCUCCCGCUGGGAGAGCUGCUAGCGGCCAGUGAGAUGGAGAGGCCCGAGGAGGUCGCUGAUCAAUGGAUCACAGACCCUCAAGCUCGGCAGUGGUGGCCCAGGACUUUAAUUCUAGGACUCAGAAGGCAGAGGCAGGCAGAGUUCCAGGCCAACCUGGUGGUCUCCAGAGCAACAGGACAGCCGGGAGUAUGCAGUGAAACCCAACCUCGAAAAGACGAACAAACAAACAAAAAAAAAUUAUCAUAGAUUCUCCAGAACUCUGCCGCUUGACACCAUCGGGCGGAACGCACAACAGCAAACGCCCCCGCCGCGGCCAAUCAGCGACUGCCGCACACCUCUGCCUUGGCCAAUCCACAGCGGUCUUGCAGUUCCACCCCCUUACCUAGGGUGUGGGGAAGCUGGGGCGCCCCGUGCCCAACCUGGGGAGUGUCCAGAGCCUGUUCCUCCCCAGCACACCCCCGCGGUGUCCUUCAGCUCCAAACUAAGCAAAACAAAUGCCAGCCUCCUCCCUCUGACCCACAUGUCUCAACUCUGCCGCCUUACAGCGUUCAAGAGGCUUCUUCCAGUCAC
ensembl:processed_transcript